rnacentral:rRNA from 1 species
GACGAACGCUGGCGGCGUGCCUAAUACAUGCAAGUAGAACGCUGAAGGAGGAGCUUGCUCUUCUGGAUGAGUUGCGAACGGGUGAGUAACGCGUAGGUAACCUGCCUGGUAGCGGGGGAUAACUAUUGGAAACGAUAGCUAAUACCGCAUAAGAGUAGAUGUUGCAUGACAUUUGCUUAAAAGGUGCAAUUGCAUCACUACCAGAUGGACCUGCGUUGUAUUAGCUAGUUGGUGGGGUAACGGCUCACCAAGGCGACGAUACAUAGCCGUCCUGAGAGGGGGAUCGGCCACACUGGGACUGAGACACGGCCCAGACUCCUACGGGAGGCAGCAGUAGGGAAUCUUCGGCAAUAGACGGAAGUCUGACCGAGCAACGCCGCGUGAGUGAAGAAGGUUUUCGGAUCGUAAAGCUCUGUUGUAAGAGAAGAACGAGUGUGAGAGUGGAAAGUUCACACUGUGACGGUAUCUUACCAGAAAGGGACGGCUAACUACGUG